AGAGCUGACCGAGUAAUCGCUGUAAAGCAGAGGAAAGUCCGGGCUCCAUAGGAUAAAGUGCCAGGUAACACCUGGGGGUAAAUAUUUAUAUUUAUCAUGGAAAGUGCAACAGAAAACAAACCGCCGUUUUGGUAAGGUUGAAAAGGUGAGGUAAGAGCUCACCGUACUUUUUGGUAACAAUAAGUAGCUAGGCAAACCCCACUUGGAGCAAGGCCAAAUAGAGAUUCAAUGAAGCUAUCCGCUUAGAAUCUGGGUAGGCCGCUAGAAGUUUAUGGCGACAUAAGCUCAAGAUGAAUGAUUACUACAAACAGAACCCGGCUUAUGAGUCAGCUCAUCUG
rnacentral:RNase_P_RNA from 1 species